rnacentral:lncRNA from 1 species
AGAAGCACUCUAGCUACAGAUUAGGUAGGUUGUGUGUGUGUUUUUUCCUUUGUGUAUAUUUGGGGGACUUUGAUUCCUGGGUUUGUGUUCGGCUAUUGGAAACUUUUCUAACCUAUCAUAAGCCCUGACCUAAGCAGCAAAUUUUCAUGCAAAUAGCAGCAUGGAAAGGAAGAACUGAGGUGUUCAACAGGCAAAUAAUGUAUUUCCAGUCUCUUUUAAAUGAUUUCUUACAAAUCUCUAGCAGGUUCUGGGCAUUUGUAACUGGUCCCUUGCAUUGUACCUUUAGGAUGUUUUUUAAAAUAGUGCUUAGCUUGCUUUUUAUAUUUUUAGUUUAUAAUAACACAUGAUCCUAAAAGGAAAAGCUAUCAUAAUCUUGUAAACUGAAAAAGUUAGCGAAUAAAGACUUUGAUAUUAAAAAUAUAGCCUAUAGCUUAUAUAUUAUAUAUGCAGAGCUCCAAUAAUUAGCACAUUCAACUGUUGAAUUCACCAUCACGGUUUCAUUAGUAUUGCAAGCUAAAAAUUUUAUCUACUAGUUAAGUAUAAAGAAAAUUCCAAAAUAAUAACCUCAUAAUGUAGCAUAGUAAGUGAUAGCAUAGACUUUAGAGCCAAACUGCUUGAGUUCCAAUCCUGGCAUUUAUUAGCUGUGUAAUUUUGGGCAAGUUACUUAAACUGUCUAUGACUUUAUUUCCCCUCUAUAGAAUGAUGACAAGAGUAAUACCUUCCUAGUGAAGAUGACUUUUAUUUCAGGACUAUAUUAAGUUUCCCAACUUCUGUCAUGAUAUAGUCCAAAGAGAACCUGGACCACGCAGACAUCAAACAGAACAUGACACUGACCCAUUCUAUCAGUGACGUUGUGCUGAUUGCACAGGACAGAUGAGAGGCUCGUAUACUAGAAGUCUUGAUGAAGAAAAAUUGUGCCCCAGCAAGGAUUAUACCCAGAGCCUCAUCCAUUCAUACCUGAUUUAGAUACUUAGAUGAUGAGUAAUAGAAAAGCAUCAUCUUUAUGUAAAUCACUGUACUUGGCUUCGUGAGAAAUAUAAAAAUGAAUUGCUUCAAUCCCUGGACUCAAGGAUCCUGUGUUACCAAGGUGGUUAUCAAACCUGGGUCAAAGUUGAAUCACCUGAGGAUCUUUUAGAACAUACACAGUCAUAUGAUACUUCAAAAUCUGUGAUUCCAUGAAGCCAAGAGUAGCUCUUCAACAGGAAAUGAAUGAGUGCUUCAGCUUCUGAUCCCAUUAGUAAGAAAAUACAGUCUUAUGAGCAAUGAUGGAGCUGCAUCUCUUAGGGGCAUUUGAUUCCCAAGAGACCAAAGAGCAAAGAGAAUGUCAAUUUAAAAAAAUCAAAUGUUUCCAUGACUUAGCUAUUUAACUGCUUUAAAAUGAAUGAAUGCUGCUUCAAGUUCUUUCAAAUACCCCACAUCUUGGCAACAACGAAAGGAAUUAACAUGAAGAAAAUUUACAAUCUUUCAUCACAUCGAACAAUGUCCCACAUUUGAAAAGUUCACAGCACAGAUUUCUGGUUACUGAAAGAAAGGAAAGACCUUCUUUGGAUUUGAAUAAACAGAUGGACUUUCUUCUCCUUUUUCUUAUAGUGCCCGAUUUGUGUAAAGGGAGGUGGGAAGAAAACAUCUUAGCUUAAAAGAGUGUCCUAUAAAAUAAAAGGUUUCAUACUUGCCUAUAGCUAAUCUCUGAAGGUGGUUACAAAAGAGGAUUUCUGAAACAUUUUAUAUGCAAUGGCCCAGACAUUUGCAUAAGUGGUCAAACUUUCAAGAUGACAACUUAAAAAUAUAAUACUCCUUUUGGACAAGCUUGUUUUUAAAAUAGCAGCAUCAUUAACUUUGGCAAAUCCAAUUCUUAAAUAUCCUUUAAAAUAGUUGAUAAAAGAAAGAAGGUAUCAGAACUAUAUAAUGGUUGCACUGCAUUUUUUAAAACCUCUUAUUUUGAAAUAAUUUUAGAAUCACAGAAAGUUGCAAAUAUAGUAUAAGGAGUCCCAUGUGCCCUACAUGAUGACAUCUUAUAAAGGGAUAGUAUAAUAUCAAAACCAAGAAAUUGACAUUGGCACAUUACUGUUAUUUUUUUAUUAUACUUUAAGUUUUAGAGUACGUGUGCACAACGUGCAGGUUUCUUACAUAUGCAUACAUGUGCCAUGCUGGUGUGCUGCACCCAUUAACUCGUCAUUUAAUAUUAGGU